rnacentral:rRNA from 2 species
GGUUAAGCGACUAAGCGUACACGGUGGAUGCCCUGGCAGUCAGAGGCGAUGAAGGGCGUGCUAAUCUGCGAUAAGCGCCGGUAAGGUGAUAUGAACCGUUAUAACCGGCGAUACCCGAAUGGGGAAACCCAGUGUGACUCGUCACACUAUCAUUAACUGAAUCCAUAGGUUAAUGAGGCGAACCGGGGGAACUGAAACAUCUAAGUACCCCGAGGAAAAGAAAUCAACCGAGAUUCCCCCAGUAGCGGCGAGCGAACGGGGAGGAGCCCAGAGCCUGAAUCAGCAUGUGUGUUAGUGGAAGCGUCUGGAAAGGCGCGCGAUACAGGGUGACAGCCCCGUACACAAAAGCGCAUGUGCUGUGAGCUCGAUGAGUAGGGCGGGACACGUGGUAUCCUGUCUGAAUAUGGGGGGACCAUCCUCCAAGGCUAAAUACUCCUGACUGACCGAUAGUGAACCAGUACCGUGAGGGAAAGGCGAAAAGAACCCCGGCGAGGGGAGUGAAAAAGAACCUGAAACCGUGUACGUACAAGCAGUGGGAGCACCCUUUGGGUGUGACUGCGUACCUUUUGUAUAAUGGGUCAGCGACUUAUAUUCUGUAGCAAGGUUAACCGAAUAGGGGAGCCGGAGGGAAACCGAGUCUUAACCGGGCGUUAAGUUGCAGGGUAUAGACCCGAAACCCGGUGAUCUAGCCAUGGGCAGGUUGAAGGUUGGGUAACACUAACUGGAGGACCGAACCGACUAAUGUUGAAAAAUUAGCGGAUGACCUGUGGCUGGGGGUGAAAGGCCAAUCAAACCGGGAGAUAGCUGGUUCUCCCCGAAAGCUAUUUAGGUAGCGCCUCGUGAAUUCAUCUCCGGGGGUAGAGCACUGUUUCGGCUAGGGGGCCAUCCCGGCUUACCAACCCGAUGCAAACUGCGAAUACCGGAGAAUGUUAUCACGGGAGACACACGGCGGGUGCUAACGUCCGUCGUGAAGAGGGAAACAACCCAGACCGCCAGCUAAGGUCCCAAAGUCAUGGUUAAGUGGGAAACGAUGUGGGAAGGCCCAGACAGCCAGGAUGUUGGCUUAGAAGCAGCCAUCAUUUAAAGAAAGCGUAAUAGCUCACUGGUCGAGUCGGCCUGCGCGGAAGAUGUAACGGGGCUAAACCAUGCACCGAAGCUGCGGCAGCGACACUGUGUGUUGUUGGGUAGGGGAGCGUUCUGUAAGCCUGUGAAGGUGUGUCGUGAGGCAUGCUGGAGGUAUCAGAAGUGCGAAUGCUGACAUAAGUAACGAUAAAGCGGGUGAAAAGCCCGCUCGCCGGAAGACCAAGGGUUCCUGUCCAACGUUAAUCGGGGCAGGGUGAGUCGACCCCUAAGGCGAGGCCGAAAGGCGUAGUCGAUGGGAAACGGGUUAAUAUUCCCGUACUUGGUGUUACUGCGAAGGGGGGACGGAGAAGGCUAUGUUGGCCGGGCGACGGUUGUCCCGGUUUAAGCGUGUAGGUGUGUGUUCCAGGUAAAUCCGGUUCACUUUAACACUGAGGCGUGACGACGAGGCACUACGGUGCUGAAGCAACAAAUGCCCUGCUUCCAGGAAAAGCCUCUAAGCAUCAGGUAACAUCAAAUCGUACCCCAAACCGACACAGGUGGUCAGGUAGAGAAUACCAAGGCGCUUGAGAGAACUCGGGUGAAGGAACUAGGCAAAAUGGUGCCGUAACUUCGGGAGAAGGCACGCUGACACGUAGGUGAAGUGAUUUACUCAUGGAGCUGAAGUCAGUCGAAGAUACCAGCUGGCUGCAACUGUUUAUUAAAAACACAGCACUGUGCAAACACGAAAGUGGACGUAUACGGUGUGACGCCUGCCCGGUGCCGGAAGGUUAAUUGAUGGGGUCAGCGCAAGCGAAGCUCCUGAUCGAAGCCCCGGUAAACGGCGGCCGUAACUAUAACGGUCCUAAGGUAGCGAAAUUCCUUGUCGGGUAAGUUCCGACCUGCACGAAUGGCGUAAUGAUGGCCAGGCUGUCUCCACCCGAGACUCAGUGAAAUUGAACUCGCUGUGAAGAUGCAGUGUACCCGCGGCAAGACGGAAAGACCCCGUGAACCUUUACUAUAGCUUGACACUGAACAUUGAGCCUUGAUGUGUAGGAUAGGUGGGAGGCUUUGAAGUGUGGACGCCAGUCUGCAUGGAGCCGACCUUGAAAUACCACCCUUUAAUGUUUGAUGUUCUAACGUGGACCCGUUACCCGGGUUGCGGACAGUGUCUGGUGGGUAGUUUGACUGGGGCGGUCUCCUCCUAAAGAGUAACGGAGGAGCACGAAGGUUGGCUAAUCCUGGUCGGACAUCAGGAGGUUAGUGCAAUGGCAUAAGCCAGCUUGACUGCGAGCGUGACGGCGCGAGCAGGUGCGAAAGCAGGUCAUAGUGAUCCGGUGGUUCUGAAUGGAAGGGCCAUCGCUCAACGGAUAAAAGGUACUCCGGGGAUAACAGGCUGAUACCGCCCAAGAGUUCAUAUCGACGGCGGUGUUUGGCACCUCGAUGUCGGCUCAUCACAUCCUGGGGCUGAAGUAGGUCCCAAGGGUAUGGCUGUUCGCCAUUUAAAGUGGUACGCGAGCUGGGUUUAGAACGUCGUGAGACAGUUCGGUCCCUAUCUGCCGUGGGCGCUGGAGAACUGAGGGGGGCUGCUCCUAGUACGAGAGGACCGGAGUGGACGCAUCACUGGUGUUCGGGUUGUCAUGCCAAUGGCACUGCCCGGUAGCUAAAUGCGGAAGAGAUAAGUGCUGAAAGCAUCUAAGCACGAAACUUGCCCCGA